AACGCGGCCGAGCCGCUCCCGUCCCGCUCCUCACGGGAACGCUCCUGCCGGGAUGCGGCGGGAUCCUCGUCCGGAUCGCUGCGCCCGGCCCAGCCCAGCCCAGGAACCGCUCCCGGUGCUGCGCGGAGCCCGCGGUGCUCAGAUCACAGGAUAUAGUGGGGUCGAGAGAAAUCCUGAAAUCUGACUCUCAGGCACGCAGCAUGUGGCAGAAUUGAACUCACCUCCCGGCCAGUACCUGGACUCUGCUCCAACUGACUGAGACAAUCUCUGGGUCACAGGGAGAAAUGAGCAGGAUAAGUCCUGAGGCUUCCCUUGCUGCAUGACCAGAGCUCUUCUGGAGAGUGGCAGGGGGCAUUUCCUGCAGGUGCUGGACUUGCCUCUGUGGAUGUGUGCUGAGCUCUCACUACAGGGGACUGUGAGGCCUGACUGGCUGUGAGUUUGUGUUCUUCUCACAGGAGAAUCAGAAAUGAUCAUUAAUUAGACCACAGAAAUCUUUCUGAAACCUUUCCCCUUUCCUGCCCUUUGCUGGUAAGUCUUUUCUUUCUGCCUUUAACUCUACAGCUGUUCCCUGAUGUCAUUGCCCCUGUCUCACUUCUGUGCAGCUCCUAGCUGGGGAAGACUCAUAAUAGAGCUUGUAACAAGUAAGCACUUGUUUCUACACUUCUUUUUCCAAAACUUUCACCAGAACUUAAUUUCACUAGUUAGGAAGCGUGGUGAGGGGUGCAGGAGGAGCAGGAAUAGGAGAGGGAAGCCUUGAGCACUGCAGGCUACAAAGAUAUGCAUUUAUCAAUUUGAUUUAGUCCUGCUGCGUUAAGGAUACCUAAAUAGGCAAAAUCCAAGGCACAGGGUGAAGUUCCUGUGACAAUGCUAC